AUGAAGCGAACCGGGGGAACUGAAACAUCUAAGUACCCCGAGGAAAAGAAAUCAACCGAGAUUCCCCCAGUAGCGGCGAGCGAACGGGGAGCAGCCCAGAGUCUGAAUCAGCAUGUGUGUUAGUGGAAGCGUCUGGAAAGUCGCACGAUACAGGGUGAAAGUCCCGUACACAAAAGUGCAUGUGUUGUGAACUCGAAGAGUAGGGCGGGACACGUGGUAUCCUGUCUGAAUAUGGGGGGACCAUCCUCCAAGGCUAAAUACUCCUGACUGACCGAUAGUGAACCAGUACCGUGAGGGAAAGGCGAAAAGAACCCCGGCGAGGGGAGUGAAAAAGAACCUGAAACCGUGUACGUACAAGCAGUGGGAGCACCCUUUGGGGUGUGACUGCGUACCUUUUGUAUAAUGGGUCAGCGACUUAUAUUCUGUAGCAAGGUUAACCGAAUAGGGGAGCCGAAGGGAAACCGAGUCUUAACUGGGCGUUAAGUUGCAGGGUAUAGACCCGAAACCCGGUGAUCUAGCCAUGGGCAGGUUGAAGGUUGGGUAACACUAACUGGAGGACCGAACCGACUAAUGUUGAAAAAUUAGCGGAUGACUUGUGGCUGGGGGUGAAAGGCCAAUCAAACCGGGAGAUAGCUGGUUCUCCCCGAAAGCUAUUUAGGUAGCGCCUCGUGAAUUCAUCUUCGGGGGUAGAGCACUGUUUCGGCUAGGGGGUCAUCCCGACUUACCAACCCGAUGCAAACUGCGAAUACCGAAGAAUGUUAUCACGGGAGACACACGGCGGGUGCUAACGUCCGUCGUGAAGAGGGAAACAACCCAGACCGCCAGCUAAGGUCCCAAAGUCAUGGUUAAGUGGGAAACGAUGUGGGAAGGCACAGACAGCCAGGAUGUUGGCUUAGAAGCAGCCAUCAUUUAAAGAAAGCGUAAUAGCUCACUGGUCGAGUCGGCCUGCGCGGAAGAUGUAACGGGGCUAAACCAUGCACCGAAGCUGCGGCAGCGACACUAUGUGUUGUUGGGUAGGGGAGCGUUCUGUAAGCCGUUGAAGGUGUAUCGUGAGGUAUGCUGGAGGUAUCAGAAGUGCGAAUGCUGACAUAAGUAACGAUAAUGCGGGUGAAAAACCCGCACGCCGGAAGACCAAGGGUUCCUGUCCAACGUUAAUCGGGGCAGGGUGAGUCGACCCCUAAG
rnacentral:rRNA from 1 species